rnacentral:lncRNA from 1 species
CAAGAACCCACCCCCCAGCAGUCAGCAUCGCGAUGUUUCAAAUUCACUCUGUGCCAGCAAAACAAAACCAUCUGUCACAUGAAAUUAAAAGUUAAUAUGAACAGUGUUGGUUUGGGAGAUUUGUUUAUAUAUAAUUUGGAAUUUUGUUUUGUUUAAUAAGAUUUAUAUAUAAUUUUGUGGGUUUACAUACACAGAUUAAAAAAACCAAACAAGGCCUAGAGAAAUUGAAUGACUUGCCACACAACUUUCUGGUAGCUUAAUCAGGACCUAUCUUUUCUAUAUCUCAGACCCAGGCUAAACAGGCCUGCUUAAGACCUGUGCCUGUGGCGCCUUGCACUUCCUCAUCGAACUCAGAGCAAUUGAAACGAUCAAUGUCUGCUUCCCCACCAGACUCAGAGCUCUGUGAAGACAGGGAUUUCUUGUGCCUGAUUCCUGCUGUAACCACAAUGUUGGGCUUUCCACCUGAGAUUCUGCUGUCAUACCCAAAGGCCAACAGAAUAGAAGCCAGCUUACUGUGACAUCAUAACUGAAUAAAGCUCCAUGGAGCUUUUAAAGCUAUCCAAGGAUGAGAAGAAUGAGAAGAUAUCAACAUCUUCCGUAAGAGUUCCCUCAGCACUUGACUUUGUUCAGAAUUUAUACAACGAAGAUUCACUUAAGAGCAAUACUGGAUCUAAAGAAAGUGAGAAUAAAAUGAAGAAAUCUUAGUCAGCAUGGAAAAGAAUUACCUCACAGAUGCAACAGACAUUGUACAAUAUCUCCUGCCAAAUAAACGUU